AUCUUAGAUGUUUUAUAUGCAUUUAUAUGCUAUUUUAUAUGAUUUUUGGGACUAACCUAUUAACCUAGAGCUCUGUGCCAGUUCCUGUUUUUUCCUUGUUUUUGAGUUUUACAGAAAAGGAAUAUCAAACGGAGUCCAAUUGACGUGCCAAUUUUGAUGAUUUUUUAUGGACCAAAAGAAGACCCUGGAGUAAAAGAGUUAGGCCAGGAGAGUCCCAGGGUGCCCACGAGAGUGGGGGGCGCGCCCACCCCCCAAGGCGCGUGGGCCUGCCUCGUGGACACCUCGGGCACCUCCUUGACGUGAGACCGAUGCCAAAAAUUCCUAUAAAUACAGAAACCUUGGAAAAUUAACCUAGAUCGGAAGUUCCACCGCCGCAAGCCUCUGUAGCCACGAGAAAUCAAUCUAGGCCCUCUCCGGCACCCUGCCGGAGGGGGCCAUCAUCACCGGUGGCCAUGGAGGAGGAUCCCGGAGGGGCCAUCAUCACCAUGAAGGCCAAGGACCAGAGGGGGGAGGCCAUGGAGGAGAAAGCACAAGGGGGAGAACCUCUCCUCCUCUCUCUUGGUGGCACCGAAGUGCCAUCGAGAGGGGAAUCAUCGCUGCGGUGAUCGUCUUCAUCAACAUCACCAUCAUCAUCACCACCCUCAUCUCUUUUACGCGGUCCAGUCUCCCGCACCCCGCUGUAAUCCCUACUUGAACAUGGUGCUUUAUGCCACAUAUUAUGAUCCAAUGAUGUGUUGCCAUUCUAUCAUGUUUUGAGUAGAUAUCCUUUGUCUUUGGGUUGAUUGAUGAUCUAGAUUGGUACGAGUUGUAUGUUUUAUUUUGGUGCUGUCCUAUGGUGCCCUCCGUGUCGCGCAAGCGUGAGGGAUUCCCUCUGUAGGGUGUUGCAAUACGUUCAUGAUUCGCUUAUAGUGGGUUGGUGAGUGACUGAAACACAAACCCGAGUAAGGGGGUUGUUGCGUAUGGGAAUAAAGAGGACUUGAUUCUUUAAUGCUAUGGUUGGGUUUUACCUUAAUGAUCUUUAGUAGUUGCGGAUGCUUGCUAGAGUUCCAAUAAUAAGUGCAUAUGAUCCAAGUAGAGAAAGUAUGUUAGCUUAUGCCUCUCCCUCAUAUGAAAUUGCAAUGAUGACUAUCGGUCUUGUUAACAAUUGCCUAGGACAAUUCCGCACACCGAUCCACCAUUAUUCCAAACUCGCUAUUUAUAAUAUUUAGUAAUAUAUUCUAACUUUAUGAUAACAGCACCUACUUUUAUAUUUUAGCUCUCCGAUACCAUGCAAAGUUAUCCUCUUCAUACCCACAACGUAGUUUUAUUUCUUGUUUCUAGUUGGUAGCAAACGUUCGGUGUACGUAGAGUCGUAUCAGUGGCAGAUAGGGCUUGAGAGAAUAUUGAUCUUACCUUUAGCUCCUUGUGGGUUCGACACUUCAUACUUAUCACUUCCACCUUUGGAAAUUGCUACGAUGAUUCCCUGCACUUGGGGAUUAUCAAGCUCUUUUCUGGCGCCGUUGCCGGGGAGCAAUAGCGUGGGGUUGAUAUUCUCGUGUGUGCUUGUUUGCUUUCUUCACUAAGUAGAUUUUGUUUUUCCUUUUUGUUUCUGUUUAGUUGUGUGUGAAAUAUACAAAAAAAUUUAAAGAAUGAAAAUACCAAUUUUUUUUACUUGCCUCUCAUGCCUAAAAAGUUUUUCAAAAAGAGAAGUGAUUGGAAAGUUAUGCAUUGAAGAAGUGAGGGUCGACCUUGAGCACUUGUGUUCAUGCUCACGGAAACAAUGUAGAAUUUUUCAUGGAAGUUUCUAUGUAAAUAACUAUCCCCUUGUAUAUAUCCAUUGUAUUAUAAAAAUAAUGUGCCAAGCUUUGGUUUUAGGAUGAUUAGAUUGCUUGUUUACUAUGUGCAGAACAAAAACAGAAACUUUGGCUGUAGUGCAUGAAUUUACAUUUUUUACUGGCAGGUCAAAUGGGUCUGAAACUUUUUGCACAUUACUUAUGUACAAAUUUUUCAAAUUUUCAUAUUUAUUUCAUAAUUUUAGGAGUUACAGAAGUUUACUAAACUUCCAGAUUACUACAGACUGUCCUGUUUUUGACAGAUUCUGUUUUUCGCGUGUUGUUUGCUUAUUUUGAUAAAUCUAUGGCUAGUAUUGGGGGGGGGUGCAUGAACCAUAGAGGAGUUGGAAUACAGUAGUUUUAACAGCAAUAUAAAUAAAUAAUGAGUUCAUUACAGUACCUUAAAGUGGUAGUUUGCUUUAUUACACUAACGGAUCUCACAAAGUUUUUGUUAAAGUUUUGUGUGGAUGAAGUGUUCGAAGAACGAGGAGUUACCGAUGUGAGAAGAAUAAAGAGAGGCAAGAGUUCAAGCUUGGGGAUUCCCAAGGCACCCCAAGUAAAUAUUCCAAGGAUACUCAAGCAUCUAAGCUUGGGGAUGCCCUGGUUGGCAUCCCAUCUUUCUUCUUCAACAAUUAUCGGUAUACCUCGGUUUUUGUUUUGUUCACAUGAUUUGUGUUUUUCUUUUUCUUCAAGAACCAUGCUAGUGUGAGAUUUCCCUUAAUAAAUUUAUAGAAUACUUCAUGUGCUUCACUUAUAUCUUUUAAGAAUGAUCUUAUAGAAUUGCUCUUUGUGCUUCACUUAAAUCUUUUGAGUAUGGUUUUAUAGAAUGCUUCGUGUGCUUCACUUAUACAUUUUGAGCUUGGUUAGUCUAUAUUAAUUGUAGAAUGCUCCAUGAACUUCACUUAUAUCUUUUGGAGUAUGAAUAAUACUAUCAUUUAAAGUGGGUUUGGAAGAGUGUCAACUUUAGGAAUUAGUGUUCCCACUAUUCCGAAUGAGAAGAAUUUUGCUUAUGUGGAGAGUAGAAAAAUUUCUAUGCUUGUAGAUCAUGAAAAGAAUGCCUUAUGUGAUGGUUAUAUUGUUGAAUUCAUUCAUGAUGCUACUGAAAAUUAUUAUGAGGGAGGAAUAUAUGCUUGUAGGAGUUGCAAUAAUACCAAGUUUCCUCUCUAUGUGCUUAAAGUUUGAAGUUAUACUUGUUUUGCCUUCCUAUGCUAGUUGAUUCUUGUUCCUAUAAAAUAUGUGCUCACAAAAUCCCUCGGCAUAGGAAGUGCGUUAGAUUUAAAUGUGCUAGUAAUAUUUUUCAUGAUGCUCUCUUUAUGUUUCAAUUCUUAUCUUUUAUGUGAGCAUCAUUGAAAUCAUCAUGCAUAGCUAAAAGGCAUUAAAGAAAAGCGCUUGUUGGGAGACAACCCAAUAUUUACCCUUACUGUUUUUGUGUGUUUACAUGAUUAAGCUACUAUAGUAAUCAUGAUUUAUAGCUUUUGCUUCAAUAAAGUGCCAAGUAAGACCUUUGGGAAGACUUGGGUGAAAGUUAAUGUGAUCUUGCUGUAAAAAACAGAAACUUUGUGCUCACGAGAUUAGCUGUCACUUUUUACAGAAGAGUGAUUUUGAGUUGAUUCUUUUUGCAGAAGAUUAAUAGACAAAUUACUCACGUCCACCAAUUUAUUUCAUAAUUUUUGGAGUAGCAGAAGUAUGGUUUAUGUUCAUAUCAUUACAGACUGUUCUGUUUCUGAUAGAUUCUGUUUUCAUUGCAUAGUUUACUUGUUUUCUAGUUUCUAUGGCUUAUACUUCUCAAUAUAAAUUGUAGAAAUGAUAUGGUACAGUAGACAUUGUGUGGGAACAAUUAUGAACCUUGUCUUAGACACUACCAAAGUGGAUGGUUUACUCUUUAUCAUACUAACCUAUCUCACGAAGUUUUGUUAUGUUUUGUGUGAUUGAAGUUUUCAAGCUUUGGGUGAGAUAUCGAUAUGAGGAGAAUAAGGAGUGGAAAGACCCUAAGCUUGGGGAUGCGCAAGGCACCCCAAGGUAAUAUUCAAGGAAGACUCAAGUACCUAAGCUUGGGGAUGCCCCGGAAGGCAUCCCCUCUUUCGUCUUCAAAACUAUCGGUAUACCUUACUCGGAGCUAUAUUUUUAUUCGUCACAUGAUAUGUGUUUUGCUUGGAGCGUAUUUUCAAUUUUACUUGCUGUUUGAAUAAAAUCAUUGGAUCUUAAAUAUUGAAUGAAAAAGAAUCCUCCCAUGGCUAGUUAAUUAUUUGACUACUCAGUGUUCUUCACUCAUAUCUUUUGGAGUAGUUUGUCAUUUACUCAUGUGCUUCACGUAUAUCCUAUGAGUAAAUGGUUGAAUAAACUGAAUAUCAUAAUAAGUAUAGGUAGUAAACUUAUUGAAAGUUAGCAAACGUAGAAUUGGUCACUUGAACAAUUCAUGAAAGAAUAUUGAAGGAAGAGAGAUUUCACAUAUAAAUAUACUAUCUUGGACAUCUUUUGUAAUUGUGAGCACUCAUUAAAAUAUGACAUGCUAAAAGGUUGACGUUGGACAAGGAAGACAACGUAAUGGGUUAUGUUUUCUUAUAUCCGAAAUAAAGUAUAUUGUCAUGGAUCAUCCAACAUGCUGAGCUUGCCUUUCUCCCUCAUGCUAGCCAAAUUCUUUGCACCAAGUAGAGAUACUACUUGUGCUUCCAAAUACCCUAAACCCAGUUUUGCCAUGAGAGUCCACCAUAUCUACCUAUGGAUUGAGUAAGAUCCUUCAAGUAAGUUGUCAUCGGUGCAAGCAAUAAAAAUUUCUCCCUAAAUAUGUAUGAUUGAUUAGUGUGGAGAAAAUAAGCUUUAUACGAUCUUGUGAUGUGGAAGAAAUAAAAGCGACGGACUGCAUAAUAAAGGUCCAUAUCACAAGUGGCAAUAUAAAGUGACGUUCUUUUGCAUUAAGAUUUUGUGCAUCCAACCAUAAAAGCGCAUGACAACCUCUGCUUCCCUCUCCGAAGGGCCUAUCUUUUACUUUUAUCUUCUACCUUAUGCAAGAGUCAUGGUGAUCUUCACCUUUCCUUUUUACAUUUUAUCAUUUGGCAAGCACAUUGUGUUGGAAAGAUCCUGAUAUAUAUCCAAUUGGAUGUAAGUUAUCAUGAACUAUUAUUGUUGACAUUACCCUUGAGGUAAAAGGUUGGGAGGCGAACCUAUAAGCCCCUAUCUUUCUCUGUGUCCGAUUAAAACUUUGAACCCAUAAAUAUACGUGAGUGUUAACAAUUGCGAAAGAUUAAAUGAUAGUUGAGUAUGUGGAGUUUGCUAAAUCAAAGCUCUGACAUAGACCCUUCCUGAAAAUAAGAUGAAUUGCAAUUGUUUGAUGGCUAAGAGCACUGUUUGUUAGUUUUCAAGAAAGUUUAUGAUCUAUACUUCAACAUGUGAAUAGCUUGUUACUUGAUCAUGAAAUUUUUUAUGAGAUGAGCUACUGUUAUGACAUAUAAUGAUGCUAGAAAAGGUGAUUGAAAUUAUCAUUGAUCAAACUUGUGCACCUGCUAGGAUUCACACUUCAUAAAUUAUUUCUUUUAUCAUUUACCUACUCGAGGACGAGCAGGAAUUAAGCUUGGGGAUGCUGAUACGUCUCCAACAUAUCUAUAAUUUAUGAAGUAUUCAUGCUAUUAUAUUAUCCAUCUUAGAUGUUUUAUAUGCAUUUAUAUGCUAUUUUAUAUGAUUUUUGGGACUAACCUAUUAACCUAGAGGCCAGUGCCAGUUCCUGUUUUUUCCUUGUUUUUGAGUUUUACAGAAAAAGAAUAUCAAACGGAGUCCAAUUGACGUGCCAAUUUUUGACGAUUUUUUAUGGACCAAAAGAAGACCCCGGAGUAAAAGAGUUGGGCCAGG
rnacentral:lncRNA from 1 species